GGGUAAUUAGCUCAGUUGGUAGAGUGCCUCGUUUACACCGAGAGAGUCAGCGGUUCAAGUCCGUUAUUACCCAGUUUUAUA
rnacentral:tRNA from 1 species